rnacentral:rRNA from 1 species
AUUGAACGCUGGCGGCAUGCUUUACACAUGCAAGUCGAACGGCAGCGCGGGGCAACCUGGCGGCGAGUGGCGAACGGGUGAGUAAUACAUCGGAACGUACCCAGAAGUGGGGGAUAACGUAGCGAAAGUUACGCUAAUACCGCAUACGUUCUACGGAAGAAAGUGGGGGACCUUCGGGCCUCAUGCUUUUGGAGCGGCCGAUGUCUGAUUAGCUAGUUGGUAGGGUAAAGGCCUACCAAGGCGACGAUCAGUAGCUGGUCUGAGAGGACGACCAGCCACACUGGGACUGAGACACGGCCCAGACUCCUACGGGAGGCAGCAGUGGGGAAUUUUGGACAAUGGGCGCAAGCCUGAUCCAGCAAUGCCGCGUGAGUGAAGAAGGCCUUCGGGUUGUAAAGCUCUUUUGUCAGGGAAGAAACGGCGAUUUCUAAUAAAGAUUGCUAAUGACGGUACCUGAAGAAUAAGCACCGGCUAACUACGUGCCAGCCGCCGCCGUAA